rnacentral:tRNA from 1 species
AGAGAUUUAGGAUAAUAUAGACCAAAAGCCUUCAAAGCUUUAAGUAGAAGUGAAAAUCUUCUAAUCUCUG